CAGCUCGUUUGUGGACCCUUGGCACAAGUGUACAGGUAAGCUUGCUUAAUGUUCGAUAUGAAUCCAGACAGCACAGGCACGCGGUGUGUUUUUAUACAGUCUGUGGGCAGCUGAAGAGACUGGCUCAUUUUCAAAUAAUGUUACCGUUAACUUGUUUAGACAACGGUCACGGUAAAUUAAUGUUAAAGCCUUGAGUUUCCAGCAGUUUCUCGGAGGGAAAAUGUAAAAGCGGUUUAUUAAAGAGAAGUCCUGACUGCUUUUUCGUCGCGUUUUUCACUCUUUUACAGGCUGCCAGAAAGAAUCCGUCUCUAUAGUGAGUGAUUAUUGAAUGAGGCUGUACAUUAUAAAUGUAAUGUUUUAACUCGAGAUGUUUGUUUGUGUGAAUGCUGUGUGUGCGCUGAGUUCUGCGCGAGCGGGGAGCAGAGUUGCCAUGGAAACGGGGCGUCAACACAAAAACCGUUACUGGCAAGCAGUAAUCUCCGUCUCUCGCUGCGGUUGACGCUGUUUUAGGAGGACAGAAAGAAACUAUACAGAACAAAGUGAAACUCCAAGAUUUUUGAAAAGAAAAUUGGUGAAAUAUAUUCUGAAAAAGGCAUAUUAAUGUAUUUCAUGAGCUUCUUCAGUAAAUCUGUAUUUCUAAUUCAGUAUCUCCCUUCAGAAGUGUGGCUGACGGGAGAUACUGACUUAGAAAUACAGGUGAACUCAUGAAAAGAAGCUCAUGAAAUACUCAUGAAAGAAGCUCAUGAAAUACAUUAAUAUGCCUUUUUCAGAAUAUAUUUCACCAAUUUUAAGAAGUCCCUGACAUCAAAACAGUAAAUAUCGUUGUCUCUGUGUCAGAUGGCUUAUUUUGUUCCUGGACUCUUCAGUGAUGAUGAGCAGAGUCUAAGUGAACCUGCUGUCAGACAAUCACUAUUGCACACCAAAUGCUCUUACUCAGCAGAUGGGGACAGCUACCAUCACCCAAUUUUCACCCAAAAGUGGCUGCGCUAUGCGCCAGACCGGGCAGGAGGGACUGGACGACAACUUAUGCAGGCAUCAGAUGACAAUGAAGUGUAAAUAAAGAGUAAAGAGGCUAAUAAACAUUAAUUUGAUUUUAAA